GACGAACGCUGGCGGCGUGCCUAAUACAUGCAAGUAGAACGCUGAAGGAGGAGCUUGCUUCUCUGGAUGAGUUGCGAACGGGUGAGUAACGCGUAGGUAACCUGCCUGGUAGCGGGGGAUAACUAUUGGAAACGAUAGCUAAUACCGCAUAAGAGUGGAUGUUGCAUGACAUUUGCUUAAAAGGUGCACUUGCAUCACUACCAGAUGGACCUGCGUUGUAUUAGCUAGUUGGUGGGGUAACGGCUCACCAAGGCGACGAUACAUAGCCGACCUGAGAGGGUGAUCGGCCACACUGGGACUGAGACACGGCCCAGACUCCUACGGGAGGCAGCAGUAGGGAAUCUUCGGCAAUGGACGGAAGUCUGACCGAGCAACGCCGCGUGAGUGAAGAAGGUUUUCGGAUCGUAAAGCUCUGUUGUAAGAGAAGAACGAGUGUGAGAGUGGAAAGUUCACACUGUGACGUAUCUACCAGA
rnacentral:rRNA from 1 species